UACAGAGGUCUCAAGCGUUGUUCGGAUUCAUUGGGCGUAAAGGGUGCGUAGGCGGCGCGGUAAGUCGGGUGUGAAAUCCCUCAGCUUAACUGAGGAAGUGCACUCGAUACUGUGUCGCUUGAGUGUUGGAGGGGAUGGCGGAAUUCCCGGUGUAGAGGUGAAAUUCGUAGAUAUCGGGAGGAACACCUGUGGCGAAGGCGGCCAUCUGGACAACUACUGACACUGAGACGCGAAAGCGUGGGGAGCAAACAGGG
rnacentral:rRNA from 1 species